UCCAGAACAUUUUCAUAAUCCAACCUGAAACUCUGUACCCAUGAAACACUCGGCAACCACCAUUCUACUUUCUGCCUCUUUCUACAUAUUUGCCUAUUCUAGAAUACUACUCUUUUCGAUCUCUCAAUUUUCCUGAAAAAGACUUAAAAUUUCUGGCAAAUUUUCCAAGUAACCUUUUCAAUAACCAGGUAAAGUGAGAUGGGGUAAACAUAACCGAGGUUCUAAUUUUUUAAAAUAACUUUGUGAAGAAGCAGAAAAGUUGUCAUCUCCUAGCAACCACUGUCCAAAAGGCUUCAAACCACUGAUCUGUAGGGCACAGAGUAAGUAUUUGUAGGUGAGGGAACCCCAUGGGGAAAAAACAAGGACAAGGAAAGUGUGUGGCUUCUGCAGCUUAAAAGUGUUCCACUGAUACUCAUAAGGCUCUCUCUACCCUGUAUUUUACUGCAUGUAAACUAUACCUCAAAAAGUUGUGACAAAUAAGUAAAUCCCCUAGAGACCAAUGUACUUCAAUAGCGACGCUCCCCUCAGGCCUCCUGGGUGCUUCCCUCACAUCACCUCCUGCACGGCCUUACCUCCCCUGCUUCCCUCGUCCCCUCCACCCUCUGCACCUCCAUCAUCCAAAGACAGAAAUGUCAUCUUUAGGGCAAUGUGCCAGAGAGGAAAAGCAAGGGCUUGGUUACAUGUCAACUGUGCGCUCAGGCAGUGCUACUCACUUCAUCAGUUUCUGCUUUGUGGCAGAAUCUUUGAAGCUUCUAAAUUCUUCUCCUGCUUUGAUCUCAUAAAACUGGGGCUUUAGGACUGUCUGCUGGUCCUCCUUGAGUCGUUCCUGCCGCUUCACUUUUUCCUCCUGCUGGAGGAGUCUGCGUUGCUUCCUGACCUCUUCAACCCAGGCUUUUUCAUCAUCUGAACUCUCCGAACUUUCUGCAUCACUUGGUUUUCCUUCCGGCUCUUCCUCCUCUUCCUGAGAAUAAAAAUAGUAAGCAGCAACUCCUUUCCCCCAGUCAAACACAGACCCCUUGGUUUCUCUGAAGCAGCACUGGCCCAUUAAUGAGUGCCUAACAGCUGCUCUACUGCAUGCAUCAGGAGAAAUGCCUUUAAAUAAAUAAGAUAAUACUCCUAAGCCCAAUGUCAAACACUUAAUAUGGAAUUAAUUACAUCUCAAGUAUAAUCAAAGACUCUUCUAACUUACAAAGAAAACAUUACAUUAAAGAAACAGUAGCAAAUUCUAACUGAUAAGGAGUACAUUACUUUUUCACGAAGUUCUUGUUGCUCUAAGAGUCUUAGUUUCUUCUUCCUUUUUUCACUAAUUUUUGAAACAAGUGGAUUCAGAAGCCUAAAUUCUUCACUCUCUUCAUCUACUUGGAAGUCAGGGUUCUCAAACAUAACUUUAAAUCGAUCAUCGGUGAGAAUAUUAGGAAGACUCUACAAGGAGGAAAAAGCUUGGAAGCCAGAUGAAACGGCUUACUCAGAAUUGUUUGUCAAUCAGAGUAAACAGCCCUGAACACUGCUGGAAAAAGCUGACCUGUUUGUGAUGGACUCUGACUCUGCUGAACAGACUACUUUACUAUUUCUCCACUGUUGAGAGUAAACAAGAUUGCAGGCAGUUGAGUUCUGAAUAUUAUUUGUGU
rnacentral:lncRNA from 1 species